rnacentral:misc_RNA from 1 species
AAGUCGUAACAAGGUUUCCGUAGGUGAACCUGCGGAAGGAUCAUUAUCACGUAUCCAAACGUAUAAACCAAUGUGCACCUCUAAUUCCUCCUCUGGAAAUGAAGUGGCAGAGAAGUUGAUAUUCUGAUUCAUGGUCUUUCAGAAUUCUCUGUCUUGAAUCUCUUUAUUGAGUUUCAGCCUUCUACUCCGGGAGUCGUAUCAAACCAUGCUUGUUUUACUAAACAACUUGUACCUUUCUGAACUAACUUUGGUUGGAAAAAAUAACAGUAUCCUCGGAUGCUUGUUGUUUUUGAUAACCUUGAUUUAUAUAAACUCUGAACUACUCUUAACAACGGAUAUCUUGGUUCUC